UCACUUUUGGAGGGAUGCGCCACGCCCAG
rnacentral:sRNA from 1 species